UGUCUGAUGAGCCAAACACUAGUCACUGAUUCACUAUUCGACAAGAUACGGGUGCAUGUUGUCAACAGCUUCCAAAACGAGACUCUGGAAGUUCAUUGUAAAUCCAAGGACGAUGAUCUCGGGCUUCACCAUAUCCCCGCGAAUCACGAAUUCAAUUGGCAUUUUCGGAUUGCCAUUUUUAAGAGAACUCUCUUCUUCUGCGAUACGUGGUGGAGGGGUGGAAAAGCCAGUUUCCAUGCCUUUUCUGCCGAAGAAGGUUUUCUCAAGUUUUGUGGUGAUGGAGAUUGCAUGUGGAGAGCAAAUGAAGAUGGGAUGUCCUUGCUUGAUUAUCACCACCAACAAUAUCAUCUCAUGCAUAGAUGGGAAUCAUCCUAA
rnacentral:lncRNA from 1 species